UUUUACUGUAAAACAAUAAAAUGCAUCGGUUGGAUAUGUCCAUUAAAGCAUGACAAUACAUUCAUAUACAUGUUACAGAUGUAUUCAGUUAUGGUUCAUAGUAACUAACUUUACAUGAAAUAUAGAUAUAUUUAUAUUUUGUUCAUCUUACAUUUAUUAUUAUUAUUAUUGUUGACAUGAAUCCCACAUCACGUUGAUCUCACAGUGCAUGGGGUCGCAGUUCAUACACGUAUUGAAUAUGUGUGUGUGUGUGUGUGU